UCCGUAGGUGGAUAAUUAAGUCAGAGGUGAAAGUUUGCAGCUCAACUGUAAAAUUGCCUUUGAUACUGGUUAUCUUGAGUUAUUAUGAAGUAGUUAGAAUAUGUAGUGUAGCGGUGAAAUGCAUAGAUAUUACAUAGAAUACCAAUUGCGAAGGCAGAUUACUAAUAAUCAACUGACACUGAUGGACGAAAGCGUGGGGAGCGAACAGGAUUAGAUACCCUGGUAGUCC
rnacentral:rRNA from 1 species